GAUGAACGCUGGCGGCGUGCCUAAUACAUGCAAGUCGAGCGAACAGAUAAGGAGCUUGCUCCUUUGACGUUAGCGGCGGACGGGUGAGUAACACGUGGGUAACCUACCUAUAAGACUGGGAUAACUUCGGGAAACCGGAGCUAAUACCGGAUAACAUUUGGAACCGCAUGGUUCUAAAGUGAAAGAUGGUUUUGCUAUCACUUAUAGAUGGACCCGCGCCGUAUUAGCUAGUUGGUAAGGUAACGGCUUACCAAGGCAACGAUACGUAGCCGACCUGAGAGGGUGAUCGGCCACACUGGAACUGAGACACGGUCCAGACUCCUACGGGAGGCAGCAGUAGGGAAUCUUCCGCAAUGGGCGAAAGCCUGACGGAGCAACGCCGCGUGAGUGAUGAAGGGUUUCGGCCCGUAAAACUCUGUUAUUAGGGAAGAACAAAUGUGUAAGUAACUGUGCACGUCUUGACGGUACCUAAUCAGAAAGCCACGGCUAACUACGUG
rnacentral:rRNA from 1 species